CCUGAGGUUCACAUCACCCUAUUGUGUGAGCACGUGCAUGCUGCUGUUUGAACCCAGGCAUGAAAUACUUGAAGGUGAUUGCGAUGCCCUGACCAGGCUCUUCUCUUCCAAUACUCUGCCAUGUUCCCUGUUUGUUUUAACCUGUAGGAAGAAGGAGGAGUUGCGGAUGAUAGUGCCAUUUCUAAUCUGCUUUGGCGGGUCACAGAAAGUCGAGAGAGCCAAAUGACGAUUGAGGAGAGGAAGCAGCUCAUCACUGUGAGAGAGGAGGCCUGGAAGACGAGAGGCAGAGGAGCGGCCAACGACUCGACCCAGUUCACUGUGGCUGGCAGGAUGGUGAAGAAAGGUUUGGCGUCACCUACUGCCAUAACCCCAGUAGCCUCACCCAUUUGCGGUAAAACAAGAGGCACCACACCCGUUUCCAAACCCCUGGAAGAUAUCGAAGCCAGACCAGAUA
rnacentral:lncRNA from 1 species